UACGGAGGUCUCAAGCGUUGUUCGGAUUCAUUGGGCGUAAAGGGUGUGUAGGUGGCGCGCUAAGUCGGGUGUGAAAUUUCGGAGCUUAACUCCGGAACUGCAUUCGAUACUGGCGUGCUUGAGGACUGGAGAGGAUACUGGAAUUUACGGUGUAGCAGUGAAAUGCGUAGAUAUCGUAAGGAAGACCAGUGGCGAAGGCGGGUCUCUGGACAGUUCCUGACACUGAGACACGAAGGCCAGGGGAGCAAACGGG
rnacentral:rRNA from 1 species